rnacentral:tRNA from 1 species
UGGCUCAGUGGUAGAGUGCUUGCUUUGCAUGCAUGAGGUCCUGGGUUUGAUUCCCCAG